CCUACGGGAGGCAGCAGUAGGGAAUCUUCCACAAUGGACGAAAGUCUGAUGGAGCAACGCCGCGUGAGUGAAGAAGGUUCUCGGAUCGUAAAACUCUGUUGUGAGGGAAGAACAAGUACCGGAGUAACUGCCGGUACCUUGACGGUACCUUAUUAGAAAGCCACGGCUAACUACGUGCCAGCAGCCGCGGUAAUACGUAGGUGGCAAGCGUUGUCCGGAAUCAUUGGGCGUAAAGCGCGCGCAGGCGGCCCCUUAAGUCUGAUGUGAGAGCCCACGGCUCAACCGUGGAGGGUCAUUGGAAACUGGGGGACUUGAGUGCAGAAGAGGAAAGCGGAAUUCCAAGUGUAGCGGUGAAAUGCGUAGAGAUUUGGAGGAACACCAGUGGCGAAGGCGGCUUUCUGGUCUGUAACUGACGCUGAGGCGCGAAAGCGUGGGGAGCAAACAGGAUUAGAUACCCUGGUAGUCCACGCCGUAAACGAUGAGUGCUAAGUGUUAGGGGGUUUCCGCCCCUUAGUGCUGCAGCUAACGCAUUAAGCACUCCGCCUGGGGAGUACGGUCGCAAGACUGAAACUCAAAGGAAUUGACGG
rnacentral:rRNA from 1 species